GACCCAAAGGUAAUAAGUUGCUAGUGGUGAAAGUUCAGUCUUUAAUAGUUGUUAGCUUGAGUGAGUAAAUUACUAAAGUCUACCCCCUCUAUAGAUAUGGAAAACAAAAGUACAUAUGCUCAGGCAAUACAAGUCAACCUCAAAGAUUCCUUACUUUUGUAACGCAUGCUGAAUUUAAAAUGGAUACUUUGAAUAUUCUUCUUCAGGAAUCUGGUAAUAUUUGCCCUGCAAGUGUUGCUUAUUGAUGUCUUCCGAAUGAUGGCUUCCAGAUUUCAGUAUGCAAUGACUCUUCACAUGAUUAUUUUUCUACAGAUAGCUCAUUUGGUCACAGGCCAGUUUAAAAUUAUACCUCCUGACAAUCCUGUUAUUGGAGUCAUUGGGAAAGGAGUCACCUUGCCCUGUCAGCUGGAAGCUAAGACAACCCCUGAGAGACUUUUUGUUCAGUGGAUAUUUAUUGGAAAAUCCCAGAGAAUUUCUGUGACCACCUAUGAUGGAAAAAACAAACAAAAUCCAAUUAGUGAGGAUGAGACAUACAGGCAGGACAAAUUUCUUU